rnacentral:tRNA from 1 species
GGGUCGUUAGCUCAGUUGGUAGAGCAGCGGACUUUUAAUCCGUUGGUCACGUGUUCGAGUCACGUACGGCCUA